rnacentral:rRNA from 16 species
UGAGACCUCAGGUCAGGCGGGGCUACCCGCUGAGUUUAAGCAUAUCAAUAAGCGGAGGAAAAGAAACUAACAAGGAUUCC